UUUCUUACUAUGUCAUUACUGUUUCAUAUAUCUAUCUAUUUAUCUAUCUGCUUAUGCCCACUUGAACCUAGUGGGGAGAUCGGCGGAGUCGGCGGCCGAACCCACUGGGAACUAUGGACAAUAGUUCUCACCCCACUUUGUUGCAGGGCCGAGUACGAGCGCUCCGGGCGAGGAUCACGGUAAGCGCUUAGCGCCCUAGCAUUAGUAGCUCUCCUACUGCAUUAGAG
rnacentral:lncRNA from 1 species